rnacentral:rRNA from 1 species
UACGUAGGGUGCGAGCGUUGUCCGGAAUUAUUGGGCGUAAAGAGCUCGUAGGCGGUCUGUCGCGUCUGCUGUGAAAACCUGGGGCUUAACCCCGGGCCUGCAGUGGGUACGGGCAGACUAGAGUGUGGUAGGGGAGACUGGAAUUCCUGGUGUAGCGGUGAAAUGCGCAGAUAUCAGGAGGAACACCGGUGGCGAAGGCGGGUCUCUGGGCCAUAACUGACGCUGAGGAGCGAAAGCGUGGGGAGCGAACAGG